rnacentral:misc_RNA from 1 species
CAAAAAAAAAAGAGUGAAAAUUUGAAGAGAAAAGCCACCAUGUCUUCUCCUGCAAUUGUGAAUCUGUGGAUGUUAUUAGUAUGUUGUAUUCUCAUUGCAGUGAAGGGUGGAUGGGAUGAGGAAGUUGGAUUACUUAGAAGAGGAGGAAAACAGAGACAGUUCGAUUACUUCAAGCUAGCUCUUCAAUGGCCCGGCACCUAUUGCCGAAAAACUCGCCAUUGCUGCUCUUCCAACGCUUGUUGCAGCCGCUCAAACUCGCCAUCUGUAUUCACAAUUCAUGGACUUUGGACUGAAUAUAACGAUGGAACUUGGCCUUCCUGUUGUUCUGGUCGCCCUUUUGAUCAGAAGGAGAUUUCAACAUUGCUUGAGCCAAUGAGGAAGUAUUGGCCUUCCUUAAGUUGUAGUUCCCCCAGAUCUUGCCAUCACAAAAAAGGACCAUUCUGGGGUCAUGAGUGGGAAAAACACGGGACAUGUGCUUAUCCAGUUGUCCUUGACGAAUAUGAAUUCUUUUUGACAACGUUGAAUGUUUACUUCAAAUAUAACGUCACAGAAGUUCUAUUUGAAGCUGGAUAUGUACCAUCAGAUUCUGAAAAGUAUCCAUUAGGAGGCAUCAUUUCAUCCAUUCAAAAUGCUUUUCAUACAACCCCAGAGUUGGUAUGCUCAGGCGAUGCCCUGGAAGAACUUCGUAUAUGUUUCUAUAAGAAUUUUGAGCCUCGUGACUGUGCACAUGAUACAAGCUCAAGAGGGUCAUGUCCUCAGUACGUCAGCUUGCCAGCCCAUGGAUCAUGGGGGUUUAGAAGCAAUACAACAGCAGCUUCUUAGUUUGCAGAAUGGUCUCUGGUUUCAUCAGAUAAUUUGACAAAGUUGCCGAAUGACCUUGGCUUUAUUGCUUUACAGUGAAGCCUGUCAUAAUACAAGUUUCAGCUUCGGAUUGGUUAAUCCUUUCUCACGUGCAAAUCUACAGGUGGAUAAAUGAUGUUUCCUCUAUACUUUCUAGGUCUAUUAUCAAUGCAACCGUAACCAGAUUAAUAAUGUUCCCUUUUCUGCUAUUCCAGUUUAUCAAAGUAAAUUUUCGACAUGGUUUGUACGUACCGGUGCAUGAAUAUAAAGAACUGUUGGG